GGUGUGAAUAUUGGGACAAUGGGCGAAAGCCUGAUCCAGCCAUGCCGCGUGUGUGAAGAAGGUCUUCGGAUUGUAAAGCACUUUAAUUUGGGAGGAAGGGCAUUAACCUAAUACGUUAGUGUUUUGACGUUACCGACAGAAUAAGCACCGGCUAACUCUGUGCCAGCAGCCGCGGUAAAUAAAAAAAA
rnacentral:rRNA from 1 species